UACAGAGGGUGCGAGCGUUGUUCGGAAUUAUUGGGCGUAAAGGGCGCGUAGGCGGCGCCACAAGUCACUUGUGAAAACUCUGGGCUCAACUCAGAGCCUGCAAGCGAAACUGUGGUGCUGGAGUAUGGGAGAGGUGCGUGGAAUUCCCGGUGUAGCGGUGAAAUGCGCAGAUAUCAGGAGGAACACCGGUGGCGAAGGCGGGUCUCUGGGCCGAUAUCGACGCUGAGGAGCGAAAGCGUGGGGAGCGAACAGG
rnacentral:rRNA from 1 species